CCUACGGGUGGCAGCAGUGAGGAAUAUUGGUCAAUGGGCGCGAGUCUGAACCAGCCAAGUAGCGUGAAGGAUGACUGUCCUAUGGGUUGUAACCUUCUUUUAUAAAGGAAUAAAGUGAGGCACGUGUGCCUUUUUGCAUGUACUUUAUGAAUAAGGAUCGGCUAACUCCGUGCCAGCAGCCGCGGUAAUACGGAGGAUCCGAGCGUUAUCCGGAUUUAUUGGGUUUAAAGGGAGCGUAGAUGGGUUGUUAAGUCAGUUGUGAAAGUUUGCGGCUCAACCGUAAAAUUGCAAUUGAUACUGGCAGUCGUGAGUACAGUUGAGGUAGGCGGAAUUCGUGGUGUAGCGGUGAAAUGCUUAGAUAUCACGAAGAACUCCGAUUGCGAAGGCAGCUUACUAAACUGCCACUGACAUUGAUGCUCGAAAGUGUGGGUAUCAAACAGGAUUAGAUACCCGAGUAGUC
rnacentral:rRNA from 1 species